ACUCCCCUUUCUUUGCCCAUCAGAUCUAAACACCGGCCUGCGUGGUUACCAAGGAAGACAGCAACACUGAAACUGAUGUCAGCGCUUUAUGGCACGAGUUAGUGACAAGCAGUU
rnacentral:snoRNA from 1 species